rnacentral:rRNA from 1 species
CUACGGGAGGCUGCAGUGGGGAAUAUUGCACAAUGGGCGCAAGCCUGAUGCAGCCAUGCCGCGUGUGUGAAGAAGGCCUUCGGGUUGUAAAGCACUUUCAGCGGGGAGGAAGGCGGUGAGGUUAAUAACCUCAUCGAUUGACGUUACCCGCAGAAGAAGCACCGGCUAACUCCGUGCCAGCAGCCGCGGUAAUACGGAGGGUGCAAGCGUUAAUCGGAAUUACUGGGCGUAAAGCGCACGCAGGCGGUCUGUCAAGUCGGAUGUGAAAUCCCCGGGCUCAACCUGGGGACUGCAUUCGAAACUGGCAGGCUAGAGUCUUGUAGAGGGGGGUAGAAUUCCAGGUGUAGCGGUGAAAUGCGUAGAGAUCCGGAGGAAUACCGGUGGCGAAGGCGGCCCCCUGGACAAAGACUGACGCUCAGGUGCGAAAGCGUGGGGAGCAAACAGGAUUAGAUACCCUUGUAGUC